GGGAACUAAUGGACCUUUGCUGUGUCUUGGUACUACAUUAUCCCUAAAACGGACAUAGUUCUAUCCCCAUGGGCCAUCUUAAAUAAAAAUUGGUAGUUGCGAGGAGGUCAAGCAGACGCACGGAUCAUACCAUAAGAAGAAGAAGUGGACCAGGCAUCACAAAAUUGAAUGACUAAAUUCGAUUCAUUCAGAACACGAAAUUUGACUGAAAUUCAAGGAAUUGUACUUUCUAUGGAAUCACCUACAAGGUUUUUCACCACACCACUAUUCUCCAAUCUCCACCCCACCUUUUAAUAUCAGAAUGUAAA
rnacentral:misc_RNA from 1 species